AGAAGGCUUUUUUCCACAUGAAAAAUGGUUUCAUUGGACAGUGACACUUCAUUAGCUGUCGACUUAAGUCUGGUUUGGAUCUUGCCUUUGUAGCGAAUUUCAGCUUUAAAAGAAAUACAGGCUGUGGUCUGCAUGCCACACGUGGUUUGUCAGGUCACUUCCAGUAGUUCUUCCCAUUUACAUCACAAGUCCAUGUAGGUGUAGCAGGGAGUUCACAGAACUGAGGAGCACUCUGCGCUGGCCCACACCAGUUUGUCCAACAAUGAGACGGGGCUGGUUUCUCUAACCAUUCUCCUUUUGCCAUUUCACAGUUUGGCUGCUGUUCUCAGUCAGCAACGGGUAUCUAUCUUCAAACCACAGUGACACACGAGGACAGUUUGAGCAUGAGUGCUGUCACUGUCGCGAAUGGAAGAGCUCAGAUUUUCCACUCACAGAUUCACCCUAACAAAGAUUUUUUUUGAGCCAUGGAUUUGUGCAUGUUUCCCAUUGCCAGAAGCCAACAGCUGUGAAACAGCUCACUCCCAAGUUCGGGAAGCUAAGGCAAUAAACCAGUGAUAAAACCUGUUUCCUCCUCCUCCACAAAGAGAUUCCUGCAAUUUAAGACAGGUGUUGAUGAUCAAGGUUGAAUCUACCUCAGCUUCAAGCAAUACAGGAAGAAAGAUUGGUUUUCUGCCACGGUCCCAGGCUGUGGGACUGCCGAUGAAAUCACAGCCACCAAAAGCACCUGUUGGCACAACUGUCAUGACUUCAUUUGCACUCCACAUAACGAUGCUGAAGAGAAGCAGAGAGAACCAGUCCUUAUUUAUUUUUAGAUGGAAUACCCAGUGCAGAAAAUAGUUACUACUCUAUCAGUGGCUUCUGAAAAGUUGUGAAUUUAUAGUCCAUGCUUUGCCAAGGCUGUCAGAACUGAGCUCGAUGGCAUAGACUUUAAGAAAAAAUAGUACAGCUUUUCCAUUGUUUAAGAAAAAAAAACAAAAACAAAUAAGAAACAGAGAAAGAGGGCAGGAGACUCACAAAGACCGUAGAAAGGACAAUCUGUGUCAGGACUGUACAGAAAGAUAUGAACAAAGGGAGCAAUCUGCAACAUGACGAAGGUUUGUACUGAUUCUAUGAAGUCCAGCUACCGACCUACACAAGUGACAUUCACCAGUUUCUUGCUUCAUUGGUAAGACAGACAUUUUGUCCUCCAUCCAAAUGGGUAGUGGUCUCUUGUUUGAAACCAGAACAAUUUCCUGGUGAUGAGAAGCAAACACCUACAACUUAAGUGGAAGGCUUCUGUUUAAGCUAGGGACUAGGGAGCAGAAAUAAAAUCACUGCUCAAAAUACGCAUCACAAUCAUAAUCCACAGACAUUUUUCUGAGACAAAAAGGUGGACAAUGCAGACCUGUAGGACUAUAUACCUAACCCAAAAACUUCUUCACAGCAGCUAUAUUUUCCCAUCGAGUAUACAGUGAGAAGAAAGUUCCCGCUCCUAGUUCACAUGAGAAGAAAUAGGAAGACAAAUUAUAUUGAUGGCCAAUACUUUUGUAUGCAUUGCACCUACUCUGUAGUCUGGUGCUAACAGGGCUCGCUUUCCAACACCACUAAUAAGUUACCUCCGUGUUUAAAGAUUAAAAGCCAGGAUGCAGGAAGGAAUACUUAUACUGCACAGUAUUUUACCACUGAACUUGUAAGCCAAGUAUCAGACUCAGCUACACAACAGUACUAAAUUUCUAACUUUUCCUGCCUGAUGUAUCUUUCAUCAUACUCAAGGUUGCCAUACACAAAGAUUAACAGGAGACCGCAUCAUGUCCUGCUCUGAGCUGGUU
ensembl:lncRNA